rnacentral:lncRNA from 1 species
UGUCCCAUGGUAUGAAUAUGUGAUUAUCCAUCUGUGAAGAGAGAAUAGAGGAUUAAAAAAAAGGGAAAAAGAAGGGUAAUCUAUUCUGUGCCUGUAGCCUGGGACCAGCCUUCAUCUCUGUCCGAUGAGAAGCCUGUGUCUGUACCAGUUCAGCCAACUGCCAGAAUGGAAUGGACUUCUUUCCCUUCAAAUAUGACCUUGAAGGUCUGGAUGCAUAUUGGCAAGGGCAUGGAAGUGAUUCAAGAAAUGGAGGAAAACGUGUAUGUGAGAUUCCUCGUCCUCCUCCCUAACCAUCACCUGAUGGUUGCCUGACAUUCCUUGGCAGGGGUGAGGGGGUCUCCUGCCCUGCUCAUGUCUGCCUAGCUACCUGCAAUAAGAGACUGACAGCUUCAGGGUGGGGCUGGUCACCAUAGACAGAGGCAUGAUUAGAGGGUUGGGACUUAGCUCCACCACCAACCUACCAAGAGGGGAGAGAAGCUGAAGGUUAAGUUGAUCACCAAUGGCCAAUGACUUAAUCAAUCAUGCUUAUAUAAUGAAGCCUCCAUAAAAACCCAAGUGGCCUGGGUUCACAGAGUUUCCAUACCACGUGGAGGUUCCUGGGGGGUGGUAUGCCCAGGGAGAGCAUGGAAGCUCUGGCGCCCCUUCCCCCAUACCUUGCCCUGUGUAUCGUCUCUUUAUCUGUAUCCUUUGUAAUAUCCUUUUAAUAAACUGGUAAAUGUGUUUCCCUGAGUUCUGUGAGGUGCUUCAGUAAACCAAUCAAACCCAAAGAGGAGGUCUUGGGAACCCCAACUCAAAGCUGGUCAGUCAAAAGUUCUGGAGGGCCGGA